UACGUAGGGACCGAGCGUUGUCCGGAUUCAUUGGGCGUAAAGAGCUCGUAGGCGGCCACUCAAGUCAAUGUGAAACCUCGAGGCUUAACCUCGAGCCUGCAUUCGAUACUGGGCGGCUAGAGUCUGGUAGGGGGAUCUGGAAUUCCUGGUGUAGCGGUGGAAUGCGCAGAUAUCUGGAGGAACACCGGUGGCGAAGGCGGCUUCUUGGGCCGUUCUGAGCUGAGGCGCGAAAGCCAGGGGAGCGAACGGGAUUAGAGUAC
rnacentral:rRNA from 1 species